AGUUUACCCUCUCUAAAGAUCCCUGCAAUUUUCAGCCAUGGAUCCAGGGCUGUUUGGGAAAGGAUGUACAGGACCGACAAGGUGGAAGGUAAGAGAAGAAGACAACCUGCAUCUAGGGGAUGGAUCAAUUACAACAAUGAUGGGACACCUAUGGAAGAUCUGUGUGGCUUGAUUAAAGCCAGACAAUCCUAGAGAAGGACACUUUGAAGCUCAGUUAACAUCCAGAGGCUUGGGC